rnacentral:rRNA from 1 species
UACGGAGGGUGCGAGCGUUGUUCGGAAUUACUGGGCGUAAAGCGCGUGCAGGCGGCCGACUAAGUCAGGUGUGAAAGCCCGGGGCUCACCUCCGGAAGUGCGCUUGAAACUGGUCGGCUAGAGUACGGGAGAGGGAAGCGGAAUUCCUGGUGUAGCGGUGAAAUGCGUAGAUAUCAGGAGGAACACCGGCGGCGAAGGCGGGUUGCUAGGCUGACACUGACGCUGAGGCGCGAAAGCGUGGGGAGCGAACAGG